AUUCAAGGCCACGCAUGCCUUCCUAGGCUUUGUCACUUGUUUUGAAGCCCAUGUUCUUCUUCAGGAAAACAUAAUCACAGCUUUUCCACUUGAUUCCUUCCAGAGAAGACAUGCUUAAAAGCCAGAAAGAAUUCUUCUUAAAUUGUUUGCAUGUUGGUGGCAACAGAGAUGGAAGACCAAAAAAAAUAAAGAAAAGAUCCACAGUAAAUGUUGAAAAUGGGAUCCAUCCAGUGUGUGGCAUGGAAAAUAAGGCUGCAAGCACCACUAGGGAGAUCUCCAGUUGGGUGACUGCAGCAUUUCAAGUCAGAAGAGUUUACAGAGCACCUCAAGAGGAAGCACAUCUAUGGCUCCAUCUGCAUUUGGAGGAGCCCUAA
rnacentral:lncRNA from 1 species